rnacentral:rRNA from 1 species
UGGGGAAUCUUGGACAAUGGGCGCAAGCCUGAUCCAGCCAUGCCGCGUGAGUGAUGAAGGCCCUAGGGUUGUAAAGCUCUUUCACCGGUGGAGAUAAUGACGGUAACCGGAGAAGAAGCCCCGGCUAACUUCGUGCCAGCAGCCGCGGUAAUACGAAGGGGGCUAGCGUUGUUCGGAUUUACUGGGCGUAAAGCGCACGUAGGCGGACUAUUAAGUCAGGGGUGAAAUCCCGGGGCUCAACCCCGGAACUGCCUUUGAUACUGGUAGUCUUGAGUUCGAGAGAGGUGAGUGGAAUUCCGAGUGUAGAGGUGAAAUUCGUAGAUAUUCGGAGGAACACCAGUGGCGAAGGCGGCUAACUGGCUCGAUACUGACGCUGAGGUGCGAAAGCGUGGGGAGCAAACAGG